GUAAAAUGUAAACAACGUCCUCUCGGCACAACAACGGGCUAGUUUGCCGGGCUGUGUGCAUUUUCAUUUUCAGCAUGGGUAAACGAAGGUUCAACGAAAAGGGUCGCCAAAAGGUGGAAACCAUCAUCGAUGAUUCGGAAACGAAGAAGAUCAAACUAGACUUCGCACCCGGCGACGAGUACGGAGGGCAGGACAACUCAAACGUGCUGGUACUGCCGUCAAAGAAGCGCGAGACCAAAAUCAAGAAAGACCGUACGGUGGUGACAAAAAUCUUGUCGAAAAAGCAACGCAAACGGCUGGAAAAGAUUGUCGAUCAGAAGAAGAAAAAGGAAAAUCGCUCCUCGCUCAUUGCCUCACUAGUGGCCGUGCAGGCGUCGAAGGACGACUUGAGUGGCUUUCGGAAGUUGAGCGAGGUGCAGACGAAAGGGUUGAAGCAACAUUUCAAGGAGCAAAAGUAUGGCGUUACCUACGUGGAGAAACCGGUCAACAAUGCGAAGGAAUCGGGCGUGGCCAAGAUCAAAAGUUUGGUCGGUAGUCGCCGGAAGCGGUUGGCCUUACUGCGCCAGGCAGAUCCAGCAUCGGUGGAAGAGGUGGAAGGUGAAUAUGAUCCCAAUGUGGUCGGGUUGAACGAUCCGUCCUCGAGUGAAGAUGAAUCGGAGGAAGAAGUGGAAGAGGAAGGAGAAGAGGGAAACGAGCAGGAGGAAGAGGAGAGCGAACAGGAAUCCGCUCAAGAGGAUGAAAACGAAGAGGUAGACAAAAAUCAAUCGGAACAAGAGUCGAUUACAGAGGAAGGUAGUAAAAAGGUAGAAAAUGCACCUCCCGAGGAUGUGAAGCAGCCCAAUGGCGAGAAAGAGAAGCCCACUGUGGUGGAUCGAAAACCAGCCACCUACAUUCACGUGGAGCGCGAUCCCGCAAUCCAAGCAGCCCGUUUGAAGCUUCCGAUUCUGGGCGAAGAGCAGAUAAUUAUGGAAACGAUAAGUGAAAACAAAAUAACCAUCCUAGCCGGUGAAACGGGAAGCGGGAAAACGACCCAAAUCCCGCAAUUCCUCUACGAAGCUGGUUAUGGCGAACGGGGGCUGAUCGGUGUUACCGAACCGCGGCGUGUGGCAGCCGUCUCCAUGUCGAAGCGUGUCGCCCACGAGAUGAACCUGACGACCGACGUCGUCUCGUACCUGAUCCGAUACGAAGGCAACGUGACGGACAGGACAAAGAUCAAGUUCAUGACGGACGGUGUGCUGCUGAAAGAGAUCGAGGUGGACUUUCUGCUCAACAAGUACUCCUGCAUCAUACUGGACGAGGCGCACGAGCGGAGCGUCUACACCGACAUCCUCAUGGGGUUGCUGUCGCGCAUCGUUCGGUUGCGCGAAAAGCGUGGCAACAAUCCGCUGCGCGUAAUCAUCAUGUCGGCCACGUUGCGCGUGCAGGAUUUUACGGAAAACAAGAAACUGUUCCUGGACACACCGCCCGUCAUUAAUAUCGAUUCGCGCCAGUUUCCCGUGACGGUGCACUUUAACAAAACUACGCCGGACGAUUAUUUGCGCGAAGCUUUUCUGAAGACGGUGAAAAUUCACACCAAACUGCCGGACGGUGGUAUACUGGUGUUUUUGACCGGUCAGAAGGAGGUAAACACGAUGGUGCGCAAACUGCGCAAGAUGUUCCCAUUGCGCGGGGACAAGGAGGGCGUAAGGACCAGUAAGAAAGUGGAUGAGAAGAAGGAGGAGGUGGUGAAAGACGAAGAGGACGAAUUUGAUAAUGUGUACCGGGGCAAGCCGGCCCACAAACCGCCCAAAGCGAAAUCGAGCAGAAGGCAGAAACGUGAUCAGCUCCCCGUACUGCCGCAAAUCAACCUGGAUGCGUACGAUCUACCGCACGUCGACGAUACCGAGGGUGACCGGGCGGAAGAGAACGACACGGCCAGUGAGCUGGACUCGGACUCGGACGACGACGAGCUGAACGCGGCCAACCUUUCCGCCAGCGUGUCCGAACUGCGUAAAAGUCAACCGCUGUGGGUGUUGCCGCUGUACUCGAUGCUAUCGCCGGACAAGCAGCAGCUGAUCUUCCAACCCCCGCCGGAAGGCGCUCGGCUGUGCGUGGUCGCCACGAACGUGGCCGAAACGUCGCUCACCAUCCCGGACAUCAAGUAUGUGGUCGACACGGGCCGGCAGAAGACGAAGCUGUACGACAAAACGACGGGCGUGACCGCGUUCGUGGUGACGUACACGAGCAAAGCGUCGGCAAACCAGCGUGCUGGGCGGGCGGGACGUGUCGCACCCGGGCACUGCUAUCGGCUCUACUCCAGUGCCGUGUUUAACGACGAGUUUGUAGAGUUUGCACCGCCCGAGGUGCAGCAGAAACCCGUCGACGGGUUGAUGCUGCAGAUGAAGUGUAUGGGCAUUGAUAAGGUGCUGAAUUUCCCCUUUCCCUCACCGCCCGAUCCGGUGCAGCUGAUGUCGGCCGAGCAGCGGCUGCUGCAGCUCGGCGCACUGGAGCAAGUGAUUGUCCGGGACGGUGGCCAGAAGGUGCAGAAGAAUCAAACGCUUACGCGCGUCACCGAGCUGGGGCGUACGAUGGCCGCCUUUCCAGUGGCGCCACGAUUCGGGAAGAUGCUAGCGCUCAGCCAUCAGCAUGCGCUGCUCCCGUACGUGAUCUGUCUCGUGGCGGCCCUGUCCGUGCAGGAAGUGCUGGAGGAGGUUUCGCUGUCCGAGGAGUCCAACAACACGGAAAGCGGUAAGCGCUGGCGCCAGAAGCGGAAGAUUUGGGCCGGGACGGGCGAAUCGUUGCUGCUCGGUGAUCUCAUGAUACUGCUGAAAGCGGUCGGUGCGGCCGAGCACGCCCACAGCAAGGGUGUGCUGGAAGAGUUUUGCACCGAAAAUGGGAUCCGGUUGAAAGCGAUCCGCGAAAUUCGAAAGCUGCGCAUCCAGCUAACGAACGAGGUGAACGCCAACCUGCUCGGCAUGAACCUGGCCGUCGAUCCGGAUAUGGCACCACCGACCGCAACACAAAUCCGGCUUCUUCGGCAGCUGCUGCUGAUCGGCAAUGCGGAUCAGAUCGCGCGCAAACUGCCCGAGAGUGACAUUAAGCUGAAGACGGAUGCGCGCAAGCUGAAGCAUGCGUACAAUCUGCCCAUGAUUGAUGAGCCCGUGUUUCUGCACGCGAGUUCCGUGCUGCGGCGGGAGCAGCCCGAGUGGGUAUGCUACCAGGAGGCGUACGAAGCGAUUGUACCGGGCGUCGUCGGGGAGGAGGGAAGCGAUAAGAUGAAAAUGUUCGUCCGCGGCAUCACCGCCAUCGAGCCGGACUGGUUGCCCAAGUUUGUGCCGAACGUGUGCAACGCGAUCGACGUGCUGGAGGAACCGAUCCCACCGGCGUACAAUGCGGCCACCGAUACGAUCGAAUGUCACGUGAGGGCGACGUUCGGCAAGACGAGCUGGGAGUUGCCGGCGUCCGUGGUGGAGAUGCCCAAAAACAUGCUUCGAUGCAAAUACUUUUUAAAGUUUAUCCUGCAAGGGAUAGUUUUUAAGCAGCUGAAACCGUUCCGGAAAUCGUUACUUUCGUCCCCGGACUCGGUGCUGAAGCUGUACUCCACGGCCGUCCCCCGUAUCGAUGCGGCGUUGAAGGUGAUGCUGGCGAACGAGCUGUUCAAUGCGCAGCGAUUCCACGAGCUGUGGCAAGCGGAUCCAAAGUUUUUCUGCCGUGAAUAUGCUGACUUUCUGCCAGUUUCCUGCCACGAGGAUGUUGCUAAACUGUGGCCCCCGGUGGAGUAAACGUUCGUGCUGGAAACAAAGCGUGUCCCCCCGCAUUCCCAACCUUCGGGAAUGAUGCGUGUAAGCCCGUAUUUUCGCCCCAACAAAAAUCCUGCGCCGAAACUGUCAAACCGAAAUGACCGAUAGCGAUGACGGUGGGCGAACGCAGUGCGCAGGCCUGCCUUCUCUCGAGUUUGUGAUUGCGAAGCGACGGCCAUCAUUGUUUGGAGAGCAAUUGUGCAGUGAACAAGUGCGUACGCUUUAUUCCGUAUCGAAAAGAUAAACCACCUUCCCCCCCCCAACAUCAGCAGCAGCAGUAGUGAAUCUUUCUUUAUCGACACACCAUUCUACGCAUUUUAAUAGCAAA